AGGAUUUGCACACCUGAGCCGGGUGCUAGACGCGGGUACCAGAGUGCCAGUGCUGGAGCGCAGGCGGCGGCCUUAGAAGCCAGCUGGAGGGCGCGGUCGUGCCUCGGAGCACAACGUGGGAACCGUCGUGAGAGUAGGGCCAAGUGGGUCUGGAGUCAUCUCUGGAAAGCAGGGCACGGCAAAAGGAAGUGUGUAGCCUACGUGGUUUGUCAUGUGUUGAUCUCUAAGAACGCCCGGAUAUACACCAGAUUCCUGUUCCACCCUCAGUGCAUAGAUUUGGAUAGUGUUGUCCUUGAUAGCUGAAAGCCAAUCAGGAUGGGGCCCAGAUGGAUGAGGAUAAGUCAAGCCCACCAAAGCCAAUGAGACUGUGCUCCAAGAAUCUGUUGUGAGAAGCAGACUCUUUCUUUCUCACGGAGACAGGUGGGCUGGAGUCCUCGACAUCUCAGAGAACGUUUUUUGGGGAUGAGUUACCAGUCAGGAAACAGUGCUGAGAACCAAGAGUCAUUCCAGGCCCACUGAAUGAAUCACCAGAUAAUACUUGCCUCUGGACUAUU